UGGGGGAUAUUGCACAAUGGGCGAAAGCCUGAUGCAGCGACGCCGCGUGGGGGAUGAAGGCCUUCGGGUUGUAAACUUCUUUUGCUCUGAACAAGGCGCACCAUGGGGUGUGUUGAGUGUAGGGGUCGAUUAGCGCCGGCUAACUACGUGCCAGCAGCCGCGGUAAUACGUAGGGCGCGAGCGUUGUCCGGAAUUAUUGGGCGUAAAGGGCUUGUAGGUGGCUGGUUGCGUCUGUCGUGAAAGCUCAUGGCUUAACUGUGGGUUUGCGGUGGGUACGGGCUGGCUUGAGUGCAGUAGGGGAGGCUGGAAUUCCUGGUGUAGCGGUGGAAUGCGCAGAUAUCAGGAGGAAUACCGGUGGCGAAGGCGGGUCUCUGGGCUGUUACUGACACUGAGGAGCGAAAGCAUGGGGAGCGAACAGG
rnacentral:rRNA from 1 species